ensembl:snRNA U6 U6 spliceosomal RNA
GUGCUCACUUUGGCAACACACAUACUAAAAUUGGAACAAUGCAGAGAUUAGCCUGGCCCGUGCAAGGAUGGCAUGCAAACUCGUGAAGCACUCCAUAAUGUU